rnacentral:rRNA from 1 species
UACGCAGGGAGCAAGCGUUGUCCGGAAUCAUUGGGCGUAAAGCGCGCGUAGGUGGCCCCGUAAGUCCGCUGUGAAAGUCAAAGGCUCAACCUUUGAAAGCCGGUGGAUACUGUGGGACUAGAGUCCGGAAGAGGCGAGUGGAAUUCCUGGUGUAGCGGUGGAAUGCGCAGAUAUCAGGAGGAACACCAAUAGCGAAGGCAGCUCGCUGGGACGGUACUGACGCUAAGGCGCGAAAGCGUGGGGAGCGAACAGG